UGAACUCAAUGCCAAAACUUACC
rnacentral:piRNA from 1 species